rnacentral:misc_RNA from 1 species
GCCAGUUUUGGAAUGACACCUGCUUCAAUCAUAUUAUUGUGAUUAGAAGCAGUCAACGCCAAAUUUGCCAGAAUCCCUCCAGCUGCCUCCUUCACUUGCACUUCUUCAUACUCGAGGAACUUUAUUAGUAAAGGCAGGAAAUCAGAGUUGGCAAUUUUGUUUCUGUGUUUCUCAUCCACAGAUAAAUUCCACAAUGUACAUAACCCUUGCUCCAUCACAUCUGAUGAGAGGGAAGAACGUCUGAGGACGGCAUAUAUCUCUUCUACAGCACCACUAUCUGCCACAAGGUCUCUAUAUAUAUCCACUGAGGAUAUCAUCCUUAAUAAACCAGCCGCUGCUUCACAAGCAGCAUUAGAUUCAGACCUUAAAAGGUUCACAGUG